rnacentral:rRNA from 1 species
GUAGUCAUAUGCUUGUCUCAAAGAUUAAGCCAUGCAUGUCUAAGUAUAAGCAAUUAUACCGUGGAACUGCGAAUGGCUCAUUAAAUCAGUUAUCGUUUAUUUGAUAGUACCUUACUACUUGGAUAACCGUGGUAAUUCUAGAGCUAAUACAUGCUGAAAACCCCAACUUCGGGAGGGGUGUAUUUAUUAGAUAAAAAACCAAUGCCCUUCGGGGCUUCUUGGUGAUUCAUGAUAACUUUACGGAUCGCAUAGCCUUGCGCCGGCGACGGUUCAUUCAAAUUUCUGCCCUAUCAACUUUCGGUGGUAAGGUAUUGGCUUACCAUGGUUUCAACGGGUAACGGGGAAU